AACGGGUGAGUAACACGUGAGUAACCUGCCCUUGACUCGUGGGAUAAGCGUUGGAAACGACGUCUAAUACCGGAUACGACCUUCGGAGGCAUCUCCUUGGGGUGGAAAGAAUUUCGGUCAAGGAUGGACUCGCGGCCUAUCAGCUAGUUGGUGAGGUAAUGGCUCACCAAGGCGACGACGGGUAGCCGGCCUGAGAGGGUGACCGGCCACACUGGGACUGAGACACGGCCCAGACUCCUACGGGAGGCAGCAGUGGGAAUAUUGCACAAUGGGCGCAAGCCUGAUGCAGCAACGCCGCGUGAGGGACGACGGCCUUCGGGUUGUAAACCUCUUUUAGUAGGGAAGAAGCGAAAGUGACGGUACCUGCAGAAAAAGCACCGGCUAACUACGUG
rnacentral:rRNA from 1 species